CGCGUAGACGGUUUUGUAAGUCAGAUGUGAAAUCCCUGGGCUCAACCUGGGAACUGCAUUUGAUACUGCAUGGCUAGAGUAUGGAAGAGGGAAGUGGAAUUUCCGGUGUAGCGGUGAAAUGCGUAGAUAUCGGAAGGAACACCAGUGGCGAAAGCGACUUCCUGGUCCAAUACUGACGUUCAUGUGCGAAAGCGUGGGGAGCAAACAGGAUUAGAUACCCUGGUAGUCCACGCCAUAAACGAUGACAACUAGAUGUUGGGAGGGUCUGCCUCCCGGUGUCGCAGCUAACGCGUUAAGUUGUCCGCCUGGGGAGUACGGCCGCAAGGUUGAA
rnacentral:rRNA from 1 species